rnacentral:misc_RNA from 1 species
CUCGGCUUACACUUCCAUGC